rnacentral:rRNA from 1 species
GACGAACGCUGGCGGCGUGCUUAACACAUGCAAGUCGAACGGAAAGGCCCUGCUUUUGUGGGGUGCUCGAGUGGCGAACGGGUGAGUAACACGUGAGUAACCUGCCCUUGACUUUGGGAUAACUUCAGGAAACUGGGGCUAAUACCGGAUAGGAGCUCCUGCUGCAUGGUGUGGGUUGGAAAGUUUCGGCGGUUGGGGAUGGACUCGCAGCUUAUCAGCUUGUUGGUGGGGUAGUGGCUUACCAAGGCUUUGACGGGUAGCCGGCCUGAGAGGGUGACCGGCCACAUUGGGACUGAGAUACGGCCCAGACUCCUACGGGAGGCAGCAGUGGGGAAUAUUGCACAAUGGGCGGAAGCCUGAUGCAGCAACGCCGCGUGCGGGAUGACGGCCUUCGGGUUGUAAACCGCUUUCGCCUGUGACGAAGCGUGAGUGACGGUAAUGGGUAAAGAAGCACCGGCUAACUACGUG